GACGAACGCUGGCGGCGUGCCUAAUACAUGCAAGUAGAACGCUGAAGGAAGGAGCUUGCUCUUUCCGGAUGGGUUGCGAACGGGUGAGUAACGCGUAGGUAACCUGCCUGGUAGCGGGGGAUAACUAUUGGAAACGAUAGCUAAUACCGCAUAACAGUAGAUAUCGCAUGAUAGCUGCUUGAAAGGUGCAAAUGCACCACUACCAGAUGGACCUGCGUUGUAUUAGCUAGUUGGUGAGGUAACGGCUCACCAAGGCAACGAUACAUAGCCGACCUGAGAGGGUGAUCGGCCACACUGGGACUGAGACACGGCCCAGACUCCUACGGGAGGCAGCAGUAGGGAAUCUUCGGCAAUGGACGGAAGUCUGACCGAGCAACGCCGCGUGAGUGAAGAAGGUUUUCGGAUCGUAAAGCUCUGUUGUAAGAGAAGAACGAGUGUGAGAGUGGAAAGUUCACACUGUAAC
rnacentral:rRNA from 1 species